rnacentral:rRNA from 1 species
AUUGAACGCUGGCGGCAGGCCUAACACAUGCAAGUCGAGCGGAUGAAGGGAGCUUGCUCCUGGAUUCAGGGGCGGACGGGUGAGUAAUGCCUAGGAAUCUGCCUGGUAGUGGGGGAUAACGUCCGGAAACGGGCGCUAAUACCGCAUACGUCCCGAGGGAGAAAGUGGGGGAUCUUCGGGCCUCACGCUAUCAGAUGAGCCUAGGUCGGAUUAGCUAGUUGGUGGGGUAAAGGCCUACCAAGGCGACGAUCCGUAACUGGUCUGAGAGGAUGAUCAGUCACACUGGAACUGAGACACGGUCCAGACUCCUACGGGAGGCAGCAGUGGGGAAUAUUGGACAAUGGGCGAAAGCCUGAUCCAGCCAUGCCGCGUGUGUGAAGAAGGUCUUCGGAUUGUAAAGCACUUUAAGUUGGGAGGAAGGGCAGUAAGUUAAUACCUUGCUGUUUUGACGUUACCAACAGAAUAAGCACCGGCUAACUUCGUG